AGCGAACGCUGGCGGCAGGCUUAACACAUGCAAGUCGAGCGGGCAUCCUUGUGGUGUCAGCGGCAGACGGGUGAGUAACGCGUGGGAACGUGCCCUUCGGUUCGGAAUAACUCAGGGAAACUUGAGCUAAUACCGGAUACGUGCGAGAGCAGAAAGGUUUAUCUGCCGAAGGAUCGGCCCGCGUCUGAUUAGCUAGUUGGUGAGGUUACGGCUCACCAAGGCGACGAUCAGUAGCUGGUCUGAGAGGAUGAUCAGCCACACUGGGACUGAGACACGGCCCAGACUCCUACGGGAGGCAGCAGUGGGGAAUAUUGGACAAUGGGGGCAACCCUGAUCCAGCCAUGCCGCGUGAGUGAUGACGGCAUUAGGGUUGUAAAGCUCUUUUAUCCGGGACGAUAAUGACGGUACCGGAGGAAUAAGCCCCGGCUAACUUCGCG
rnacentral:rRNA from 1 species